AUUUUGAGCCAAAAACUUAGCUUUAACCCUAUUUAUACUAACUUCACCUUUUUAAUAACUUCAU
rnacentral:tRNA from 1 species